rnacentral:tRNA from 2 species
UCCCUCGUGGCGCAAUUGGAUAGCGCGUUAGACUGUUAAUCUAAAGGUUGGUGGUUCGAGCCCACCCGAGGGAG